AGAAUUAAGGUGUAUCCAUUAAAUAAGCAAAACUUCCAUGACUACAUUGACUCAUUUAUUCAGACAUAAAAGCAUCAGAAUCCCCAAAUGUGAUUAGGAGACAUACAAGUAUUAGCACUUCUCUACAAUGUCACAAUGACAUUGUUUUAACAUUAACAUGAUCUAAUCUCAUAGUUAAAAACCUAUAGGCUUUGGAAAAUCACUAAUUUGACAUCUCUAGUGAUGUUGACCAUCUGGCCCUCCAGGGGAAACUCUCUCCGGCUUUCCAUCUAGCAUUGCCCUCUUCCGCAGCCACUCACUAUUUUUUACCUCGUUAAUUACUUCACGCAACCCAAAUUUGCUAUGGAUCACUUUUAUCUUUGUUGAUAACAACAUAGGCACAAGUCUUGCCUCUGUUCUCAUUACAAGCAAUGUCAAAAAAAUUAGGAAGAUAACAAAUUCUCUUGACUUGGUUGAAGUAGCCAUUAAUUCUCUUACAAGUAACUAACUAGCUUAAUUAUUUUACAAAACAUCAAC
rnacentral:lncRNA from 1 species